rnacentral:rRNA from 1 species
CUCGGCGGAUCAGCCCGCGCCCCGUAAAACGGGACGGCCCGCCAGAGGACCCAAACUCUAAUGUUUCUUAUUGUAACUUCUGAGUAAAACAAACAAAUAAAUCAAAACUUUCAACAACGGAUCUCUUGGUUCUGGCAUCGAUGAAGAACGCAGCAAAAUGCGAUAAGUAAUGUGAAUUGCAGAAUUCAGUGAAUCAUCGAAUCUUUGAACGCACAUUGCGCCCGCUGGUAUUCCGGCGGGCAUGCCUGUUCGAGCGUCAUUUCAACCCUCAAGCCCCCGGGUUUGGUGUUGGGGAUCGGCUCUGCCUUCUGGCGGUGCCGCCCCCGAAAUACAUUGGCGGUCUCGCUGCAGCC